GUGAUACGUGUACACUGACUGAACGCGACGGGGGCGGCGCACGCCCCGCGAGCUUGGAACGCGCGCGCGGCCCAAUCCCUUCCCUCCGCGCGUACUCGCCCAUCAUCGCCGCCAACGCCGCAGCCAAUUGGCAAAAACCGCCGCCGCCGUCGCCACAGGUAUCGCCGGACUCGCCGCGCGCGUGCGACGAUGGAUAAACGCGCGCGGCAUUCGAACUGCACGAACGGUCGAGACGAACACGCUCCGGCGCCGCCGAUACCGAUGAAGAUCGCUUGAAUGCCGCCACCGCCGACGACGAAUCCCCAGCAUCGAUGCCCCCCGCCGUCCAAGAUACAAAUGAGGAUCUGCAGCAACAUGAUGUGGAAAUAAAUUAUUGAAAUUUUUAGUAUUAUUUCAAUUUAUAGGAUACAUUUCAACUCUUCUAUUUAAUGAUAUAGUUUCUUGUUUCGUAUAAAAACAAUUUCAUUUUGUAGUAAAAGUUUUUGUUACUUAAUUACUUAUUUUUUAAUCUAUAACUAACUUAGUUAAAUAUUAUCACUAUUUACACUUAACUGUUAAUACUUUUUACGAUUAUAUACUAAUAAGAUAGUACUAAAAAUAACUAACUAUAACUAUUAAAAAUUCAUUGUGAAUUAUUGUUUUAUAAAUUUAUAUUAGACUAUAAAUUGUUAUAAAAUUAAAAAUACUUCUUUAGCAUUAUUUUUAAACAUACUAAUGAUAAUAAUUAAUAUUAUGCUAUGUUUUGAUCUCAUACAUAGACAUAAUAAUAUAUUCUUAAUUUGUAUGAUUUGCUAUUGUGGGUCCUUCACUAUAUUUAAUAAUACAUGUAAUUAUAUUUAAUGUUUAUAGUAUAAACCACAACUCAUGCUUACCGAAUGAAGAAUCGUUUAGUAAAUAAGUGUACCACACUGAAACAGUGUCAAAGUAAUUAAGACAUCUGAAAAAUAAAAUAAAAUUAAUAUUCAAAGAAAUAUGUACCAAUAUAUACUUAAACUAAAUAAUAUGAUCUAUUAUAUUAUGAAAUUAGAAAUAUAUAUUUAAACAUACAUCUUAAUA